ACCGCAAGGCUUAAGAGGAGGGGUGAGAAAAAGUCGUAUAUAAAAGGCGAGAGAAAAGUUGACAGGGAUCAGUCGAGCGACUAUCUCUGACACGGUAACCUCUGCAGUGCACUCUUUGCCAUCAGCUCUAAGCUAUCUGCUAUUAUCAGUUCUCAAUCACGGUCGUAUAUAAGGAAAAAGAGAAGGCGAAAGAAAUCAGUCGAGUGACCAUCUCCGAUAUGCCAGAGCUGCUGUGCGCCAUUCGUCACCAACUGCAUUCUUCGUCGUGUUACCAGUUUUCAAUCAUGGUCGCAUAAAAGGAGAGAAAAGGCGGUAGAAAUCAGUCGUAUCUCCGACAUGGGAACAGCAACUGCAGUGGACUAUUUUACACCAACUGCAUUCUUCGUCGAAUUGCUAGUUUUUUUCAUGGUAAACUUUGGCGUCGUGCUGCUGUUGGGUGUUGUAUAGUUGACGGCUGGUUCAGCCAUGGUGUACCAAUGUCUCCUGGGUAUGGUGGAUAACAAAUCGCAACGCCGCCACCUUACUACACAACAUACGACACGAUCAGUUGCUACAUCAGGGCCCCCAAGUACUACACCACCAAGGCUCCACAUCAUUGUACUACAACUUAUGCUGCCUGAGCUACUACACCGAAGCCCCGAAGUAUUAUUCUUCCCCGUGCUACACUACCAGAGGUUCGAGUAAAACACCGAUGCUCCGAAGUACUACACCACCAAGGCACAGGAGUACUGUACUGCACAACUACAUAUCAUGGUUAAGAUAGAAAAGGUGAAAGAAAUCAGUCGAGUGGUCAUCUCCGACACGACAACAGCAACUGCAGUGCCAAGGCUCAGUAUUACACCACAAUUUAUGUUGCCCCGAGAUACUACACCAAAGCGCCUGAGUGCUAUAUCGAGGCCACUAAUUACUACACCACCAAAGCACCGGAUUAUUACACUAAACAUACGCUGCUCCAGCUUAUUACACCGAGGCUCCCCAACACUACACCGCCAAGGCACCGGAGCACUACACCACUACAUAUCAUGGCCGUAUGAAAGGAGAGAAAAGGUGAAAAAAUUCAGCAGCCGAGUGAGCAUUUCCGUUACAGCAACAGGAACUGCCGUGCACUAGUUGUCAUCAACUUCAUUCUACGUCGCAUUACGAGUGAUUAAUCAAGUUAACUAUGGUGGCGUGCUGCUGUUGGUGUCGUAUCGUUGAUGGUUGGGUCGACCACUGGUGUGCCGAUUUCUCCUGGGUAUGGCGGGCAUGAACAACAACAUACGCAACAACCAGUCACUACACUGAGGCCCCCAAGUGCUACACCACCAAGGCUCCAGAGUAUUACACCACAGUUUAUGUUGGUCCGAGCUAUUACGCAGAAGCUCCGAAGUAUUUUUCUUCCCCAAGCUUCACUACCUUCACCACGCCGCCUCCUUCCUAAACAACAACGUCAACACCUUCUUACUAUACGAAGUUCUACUACGCCACGAAGGCUCCUGACUACUAUACCGAGGAUCUAACUUGUUACAGCAACGAAGUUCUCAAGUAGUGCACUACAACCUACGUUGCCCCAGCCUACACCACGCAGGCACCGGAGUACUACACCACAACCUACGCUGCUCAAAACAACUACAUUGAUGAUCCAAAGUACUACACCACCAGGGCAUCCGAGCAUACACUACCACUACUUACGCUAUCACCACCUGCUUCACCGAAGCUCCGAAAGCAGUACUCUGCCUCGAGUUACUACACCACUUAGGCAGCCGAAUGUUACACCGUAAACUACGAUUCCGCAAUUUUCUACAAGGACUUUCCUAAAUAAUAGAGCCGAAAUUUCUACUUCAGAUGAUUUAUAUUUGUCGGUUAUUUCCAUGGUCCAUGGUCACUGGGAAUUAAUCGUUGAUCUUUAAUGAGAAAAUAAAAGUUUUAAUGCGGGUAA